rnacentral:rRNA from 1 species
CCUAGAGGGGGACAACAGUUGGAAACGACUGCUAAUACCGCAUACGAUCUAAUCUCGGCAUCGAGGAUAGAUGAAAGGUGGCCUCUACAUGUAAGCUAUCACUGAAGGAGGGGAUUGCGUCUGAUUAGCUAGUUGGAGGGGUAACGGCCCACCAAGGCGAUGAUCAGUAGCCGGUCUGAGAGGAUGAACGGCCACAUUGGGGCUGAGACACGGCCCAG